ACCCAGAACAAGGCUCUCUUCUUUUGACCUUCAGGGAUGGUGAGAAAGUGCUUUCUGUUUUGGGUGA
rnacentral:pre_miRNA from 1 species